rnacentral:rRNA from 1 species
GACGAACGCUGGCGGCGUGCUUAACACAUGCAAGUCGAGCGGAGCGGAGAACGGGUGAGUAACGCAUGAGUAACUGCCCACCUCUCUGGGAUACAGGUUGGAAACGGGUGCUAAUACCGGAUAGUGGGGGAUGACUCGCGUCAUAUGAGCUUGUUGGUGGGGUAGUGGCCUGACAAGGCGACGACGGGUAGCCGGCCUGGGAGGGCGGACGGCCACAUGGGGCUGCGCUACGGCCCAAUCUCCUACGUGAGGCAGCAGUGGGGAAUAUUGCACAAUGGUGGAAAGCCUGAUGAAGCAACGCGCGGGUGGGAUGACGGCCUUCGGGUUGUAAACCGCUUUCAGCCAUGACGCGUUAGUGGCAGAAGAAGCACCGGCUAACUACGUGCCAGCAGCCGCGGUAAUUC